rnacentral:lncRNA from 1 species
UUGCGCAGUUCAAUGUGUUUAUGUUUAUUUUUUUUUAAGGUAAACAAAUUCAUUCAAUGGUCGCCCAUCUGGAUGCGGUCACGUGUCUAUCUGUAGAUAGUCCUGGACUAUAUCUAUUAUCUGGCAGUAAGUAUAGUCGUUGGCACCUGAGCAUGAACAGUGCAGAUAAAAACAUUGUCUAUUCUCACACUCAGCUCGGAGCUGCUGCAGCCAUCCGCCACAAUCUUAACAUUUAUUUGCCAACACUGCUAAUAAUUGGUUACAACAUCAUAGUUCAUACUAUCUUAAAUACAGAUCCUAUUUCCAGAUCUUGAAAGAUUAAUUUAUCUGAUGAUACUUUUAAAAAUUAUACAACCACAUACUUGGGUGGGCAGGUCGGAAAAAGGUCAACAAAUGGCGGAAGCAAAAACAAAAUGUGCUUUCCUAACCCGCAGCGCCCGAUUAUAUAAUGAGGCUCCUCCCCCCCAGCAGUGUAUGAAGAACAUUCUCUGCUUCUUUCAUUCAUCGGCCAACAGAAAAUUACACAUAUUCUCACGUGAAACUUGGUAUAGCUACAUCAGAGCUACAUAUAAGAUAACACUAAGCUGCUCCAUAUACUACUAUUCGGAGAACUCCAAAUUUUCGGAACACUAAUACUGUCACAUGACUGUUGAGUAGGGUAUGCCAGAACAGACAUGUCACUUAUGUGAGCAUGUUUGGUUCGAUUCGAUUACACGCGUUUUAAAAAACGCACAGCUUGUAACAAGUCUGUAAACAAGUUGUUACAAGUCUGUUCACUAGCUGUGACUAAGCUGUCGACAAGUUGUGUUCGCACUGCUUGUUCCCAGUUUGUUGUAACAAGUUUGGAACAAGCUGUUAACAACCUGCAACAAGCUUGAUGGCAUUAUCAGCCUUGUUACAAGACUGUACCAACAAGUUUGUUACAGCCAUGAUAUAACAAGGAUGUUACAAGGUUGUCAACACAAGGUUGUAACAAUCUUGUUAUAUGCAUGUAACGAACUUGUCAUAAUUUGGAUAAUGGAUAAUUUCAACAAGGUUGUUACAUGUUGUCAACAAGUUGUUCCAAACCUGUUGACAACUUGUGAUAAGCAGUGCGAAUACAUCUUGUUGGCAGACUUGUUACAAGAUGUGAGAUUUUUAUGUGUGCUACUUCCAAAAAUUUGGAGUUCUCCGAAAAGUAGUAUAUGGAGCAAUCUUGAACUGUCUUUGCCAGUGUAGGUAGUGCCAAUAAUAUGAACAAGCUUUCGUUGGUAGGGACAUCCCUAUACCAACGAAAACUUGAGUAUAUGGAGCAGCCUGACUAAAUGAGUGUUUGUCCAAUUCAGGUCACGACUGUUCAAUUCGUCUUUGGAAUCUCGAAACGAGAACUUGUGUCCAGGAAAUAACCUCACAUCGUAAGAAAUUCGACGAAUCCAUCUACGACGUCGCGUUUCACCCGAGGAAGGCGUUCAUAGCGAGCGCAGGCGCAGAUGGUUUAGCGAAAGUAUUCCUCUGACCCACGUGACCUAACCAUCCCCAUAUACCCCUGUAGCAUAUCCCCGUAGAACCCACAACGUCCCGCAUGCACCCGUAAAGUACCAAACGGAGUCGUAACAUCUCUGGCUGUGCUCUAGUUGUCAUGGUCGUGAACAGAUAUCCGGUAUUUAUUUUCGUGUCGUAUAUAUGAUGUUUUAGCGAAGAUAGGCGUUUAUAGUGCACCUAACCUCAAUUCCUUUUAUCAUCUCACUCGUAAGAACUUUUGAAAUGAUAUCAAGUAACUUAUUUUGAAAAUUUUUGUUUCCUCAGUUAUUUCUGAGAUAUUCCAGUUUUACUUCACACAUGAAUGACUUACCAAAGACUGUAAAGCCUGGUUCAUACUAUCAAAGUUUCUGUGAUCACAGUAGGAAUUUUGCGUAGGUAAAUUCUAGGUUUUGAAGGAUUUGUAAGAAAUGUUUGGUGGAACUGACCCACUGUUUAACACUGAGUCAGUCCCUUUAACAUUUCUUACAAAUCCUUCAAUUUCUUACCUAAAUUGUGUUUGACAUAUGUAUGCCAUCCUCCCACAACUCCAAACUUCUUCAUUUUAAUGAAUUAGAACUCGAUAAUGAAUAAGAUACACAAGCUUUUACUUAUUGUCAUUAUGCAUAUAUGACGUAAGUUCGGAUAUUUGCAUACCAAACAAAUUACAAGUAUCUCAGAAACAAAGUGAGUAAACGGAAAUCUUCAAAAUAAGUUCCAUAUAAUUUCAAAAGUUCUUAAGAAUGAGAUGGUAAAGAGAAUUGAGGUUAGGUGCAUUUCUGAAAUUGACCACUAUCGGCCGUAACGGUUACCAAAGCCAACCUACAGGAGCAUUGUGAGCGUGAUAGGGAAAUAUACUCGACUUCAAUGUCAAGUAUAAACCCAUACUACUGGAAUGAAUAUAACUGGAACGCUACCUCCAACCGGAAAUUUGAAGCCAAACUAGAAGGGUAGUCCCAAUCUUUUCACGCAUGCGAAGAGCGCGGUCAAUCCGUCAAUAUGAAUGUGAUAUGUCUUUUUUCUGUGUUGGUGUUAUGUACUCAGGUGAGUAUGAUGUGUGUGAUGUUACUCUGAGUGUAUAUCCACACCGGCCAAGCUUGAAAAAUAUGCCUGGCCGAGUGGCCGGGCAUAUUUUUCAAGCUUGUCCGGUGUGGAUAUACACUCGGAGUAACAUCACAAACAUGAUAUUAUUCUUGAAAACCGGCUUAAAAUCCACAAAAAAGCGUUUUUAAAAGGGCUCAAAGCUUUCUAUUAAUGCAUUUAUCAGGUCAGAACUCCUAGUAGACUUUACUUUUAGUUUUUUCUUAUUUUUUCUAAUAAUAGCCGCGUGCUCGCUUCCUGAACUGAUCUCGCGAGAGAAUCGCGAGGCAUAAACACGCGGAUCUUCGGUCUCGCGACAGAAUCUCGAGACAUAAACACGCGGGUCAGAUUUGGCUUCAAGAAACAGAUAGGCAGUUUAUCUGGUUUAUCCGAAGUUAGCGUUCAGUUAUAUUCAUUUCACUGACCCAUACCAACUAUUUGACUAAAACAUUGACGCAAGUUUUGGCGGAAGUGUUAAUCGCCAUGUGUUCAUAAUAAUUCAACAAUAAUCCGAAUAACACCAUGAUGAGAACACAGUCAGCAGUUUGAGCUAUAAUUUAUUAUGUACAAUGAUAUAAAUACUGAAAUCAAUAUGUGUGUACACUAGAUACACAUUGGGGAACAGUUUCAUAAUAUUAUACUUAUAUUAUGCUCAACAAAAUUGGCCCCUUCAAUGAUCCUGUGUAGACUAAAUUUUAGUUAAUAUUUCCAUGGCUGUCAUUAGCCGACUGUAAACAGUAAUUAGGUAAUCUUUAGAUUAAAGUCAUGAAUAACAUGCAUAUUGUAGCACUAUAGUAAUUCGUAUUCUAAAGUCUUCAAGCAGCA